GCGAAAGGCCCCUCUCGGGGGCCGAGUAGAGUGGCGCACGGGUGAGUAACACGUAGGUAAUUUGCCUUCGGGUGGGGAAUAACAGCCGGAAACGGCUGCUAAUACCGAAUAAUGCAGCGGCACCUAAUGGUGACAGUUGUUAAAGCGGGGGAUCGCAAGACCUCGCGUCUAAAGAGGAGCCUGCGGCGGAUUAGCUAGUUGGUAAGGUAACGGCUUACCAAGGCGAUGAUCCGUAGCCGGCCUGAGAGGGCGGUCGGCCACACUGACACUGACAUACGGGUCAGACUCCUACGGGAGGCAGCAGUCGGGAAUUUUGGGCAAUGGGCGAAAGCCUGACCCAGCAACGCCGCGUGAAGGAUGAAAUCCCUCGGGAUGUAAACUUCGCAAGAACGGGAAGAAUAAGUGAGAGUUAAUAUCUUUCACGAUGACGGUACUGUUUGUAAGCUCCGGCUAACUCCGUGCCAGCAGCUGCGGUAAUACGGGGGGAGCAAGCGUUGUUCGGAUUUACCGGGCGUAAAGGGCGCGUAGGCGGCCACCGCAAGUCGACUGUGAAAUCUCCGGGCUUAACCCGGAAAGGUCAGCCGAUACUGCGGGGCUAGAGUGCAGAAGGGGCAACUGGAAUUCUCGGUGUAGCGGUGAAAUGCGUAGAUAUCGAGAGGAACACCUGCGGCGAAGGCGGGUUGCUGGGCUGACACUGACGCUGAGGCGCGAAAGCUAGGGGAGCG
rnacentral:rRNA from 1 species